rnacentral:rRNA from 1 species
UUGUUACGAGACCGAUAGCGAACAAGUACCGUGAGGRAAAGUUGAAAAGAACUUUGAAGAGAGAGUUCAAGAGUACGUGAAACCGUUCAGGGGUAAACCUGUGAAACCCAAAAGAUCGAAUGGGGAGAUUCAUCGUCAGCGUAUUCAGUAUUAAUGCAGGCUAUGAUGUGAUAAUAGAAUCCUCGUGGUCACUAGAUUAUACUUGCUUGUGUUAUUUUUGCUGGGUGUGUCGGCGUGCACUUCUCCUCUAGUAGAACGUCGCAACCCGUUGGAUGUUUAUCUAUGGCCUGAUUGGNAGCCUUUGA